rnacentral:lncRNA from 1 species
CUGAGUGACACAAGUUAGAGUUUCAGCCACAGUGUUCCUUGCAGCAGGGAGAAUGAGGUGUCAGAUUUCCCGUCCUCCAAAAAUGACCCCUGGCAGUCAGAUCCAGUGACACUAGGUGUUUCUAAUUUUGGAACCUCGAUGCUGAGGAAGGAUAAGCAGGCGCCUCAAAGUUUCCAUGAGCAUUUUCUCAGAGCUACACAUUUCACUCUAGUGCUAGUAAAAACUUCCAGCCCCUGACCUGAGGAAGGUCACGUGACCUUUGUUCCUUGUCUCACUCUCCACAUUGCGUUUUCCAGUAAAGAUCUGGUAUGUUCUCUGCUUCUCACUCCUUGUAUCUUAGGAGAAAAGCGGGUAUUCUGCUCUGAAGGGAGAAAUGAAGAGACUGACGAGUUACCACUCCCGAAAGCCGUGGGAAGGUUCCGAUUGGGAAGAACUCUCACAUCCUCUCCUGGCAUCUCUAACCCCAAAGAUUUCCCCUCUUCUGUUCUGGAACUUACGCCCAGUGAGUGUGCACUACCCAGAGACAAUCCAGCCCGGAGUCCUGUCCUACUCCUCUCUGUCCUCGGCUUCAUCCUAGAGGCUGGCACACAGGACUCCACACUAAAACUGAAUGACGGAAACUCAAGGAAUUUCAAAGAGCCACUAAGUUGCAGACACCUUAUUUGA